UAGGGAAUCUUCGGCAAUGGACGGAAGUCUGACCGAGCAACGCCGCGUGAGUGAAGAAGGUUUUCGGAUCGUAAAGCUCUGUUGUAAGAGAAGAACGAGUGUGAGAGUGGAAAGUUCACACUGUGACGGUAUCUUACCAGAAAGGGACGGCUAACUACGUGCCAGCAGCCGCGGUAAUACGUAGGUCCCGAGCGUUGUCCGGAUUUAUUGGGCGUAAAGCGAGCGCAGGCGGUUAGAUAAGUCUGAAGUUAAAGGCUGUGGCUUAACCAUAGUAUGCUUUGGAAACUGUUUAACUUGAGUGCAGAAGGGGAGAGUGGAAUUCCAUGUGUAGCGGUGAAAUGCGUAGAUAUAUGGAGGAACACCGGUGGCGAAAGCGGCUCUCUGGUCUGUAACUGACGCUGAGGCUCGAAAGCGUGGGGAGCAAACAGGAUUAGAUACCCUGGUAGUCCACGCCGUAAACGAUGAGUGCUAGGUGUUAGGCCCUUUCCGGGGCUUAGUGCCGCAGCUNACGCAUUAAGCACUCCGCCUGGGGAGUACGACCGCAAGGUU
rnacentral:rRNA from 1 species